UCCAUUACUGAGAAAGAAACCCAAACACA
rnacentral:piRNA from 1 species